rnacentral:tRNA from 1 species
GCGAUAGUAGCUCAGUAGGUAGAGCAUCGGCUUCCCAAGCCGAGGGUCGCGGGUUCGAGUCCCGCCUAUCGCU